GCUCCACUGGCUUAGUGGUUAGCACGUUCGCCUCACACCAGGGUCGCCAGGGUCCGGGGUUCGAUUCCCGCCGGGGCC